UGGUGGAUUGAUUUGUCUGGCUAAUUCCGUUAACGAACGAGACCUCUGCUUGGAGUUUGUCUUUGGCACCUUUUAUGGGGUCAUUGAAUCCCCAGGACCACGUGCGGCAAGCGCGAGGAAGUUGGAGGCAAUAACA
rnacentral:rRNA from 1 species